GUUACUACCCAUGGAUCCAUAUUUCUCCCAUGUUAGAUUCCCAAAUUCUGAUAUUUGGAUUUCACUUUUCAACCAUGCACAAUGUUGAGACAUCUUCCUCCCCCUAUUCUUGUUUAAAUCUGGGUGUUGAUUUUAAUCCCAACACAUAACUUGUGUACAUAGGUUGGUUACCACCCACAAGUUGGCUCGUCUACAUCGUUAA
rnacentral:lncRNA from 1 species